CUACGGGAGGCACCAGUGAGGAAUAUUGGACAAUGGGCGCGAGCCUGAUCCAGCCAUGCCGCGUGCAGGAUGACGGUCCUAUGGAUUGUAAACUGCUUUUGUACGGGAAGAAACCCUCCUACGUGUAGGAGCUUGACGGUACCGUAAGAAUAAGGAUCGGCUAACUCCGUGCCAGCAGCCGCGGUAAUACGGAGGAUCCAAGCGUUAUCCGGAAUCAUUGGGUUUAAAGGGUCCGUAGGCGGUUUAGUAAGUCAGUGGUGAAAGCCCAUCGCUCAACGGUGGAACGGCCAUUGAUACUGCUAGACUUGAAUUAUUAGGAAGUAACUAGAAUAUGUAGUGUAGCGGUGAAAUGCUUAGAGAUUACAUGGAAUACCAAUUGCGAAGGCAGGUUACUACUAAUGGAUUGACGCUGAUGGACGAAAGCGUGGGUAGCGAACAGGAUUAGAUACCCCAGUAGUC
rnacentral:rRNA from 1 species